rnacentral:rRNA from 1 species
UACAGAGGUCUCAAGCGUUGUUCGGAUUCAUUGGGCGUAAAGGGUGCGUAGGUGGCGAGGCAAGUCAGAUGUGAAAUCCCGGGGCUCAACCCCGGAACUGCAUUUGAAACUGCCUUGCUCGAGUACUGGAGAGGAGACUGGAAUUUACGGUGUAGCAGUGAAAUGCGUAGAUAUCGUAAGGAAGACCAGUGGCGAAGGCGAGUCUCUGGACAGUUCCUGACACUGAGGCACGAAGGCCAGGGGAGCAAACGGG